UGACAUAAAUAUGGAGUGUACAAGUUUAGUAAAUAUGACAUCUUCUUGCCUUGCCAACCAUUCUGUUGUAUCACCACCCAUAUUCUGAGUCC